rnacentral:rRNA from 1 species
CGGACGGGUGAGUAAUGUCUGGGAAACUGCCUGAUGGAGGGGGGUAACUACUGGAAACGGUAGCUAAUACCGCAUAACGUCGCAAGACCAAAGAGGGGGACCUUCGGGCCUCUUGCCAUCGGAUGUGCCCAGAUGGGAUUAGCUUGUUGGUGGGGUAACGGCUCACCAAGGCGACGAUCCCUAGCUGGUCUGAGAGGAUGACCAGCCACACUGGAACUGAGACACGGUCCAG